GGAGAGAUGUCCGAGUGGCUGAAGGAGCACGCCUGGAAAGUGUGUAUACGGCAACGUAUCGAGGGUUCGAAUCCCUCUCUCUCCGCCA
rnacentral:tRNA from 1 species